rnacentral:sRNA from 1 species
UACGAGAUCGGCUGGGACCCGCUUCACC